rnacentral:rRNA from 1 species
AUUGAACGCUGGCGGCAGGCCUAACACAUGCAAGUCGAGCGGAUGAAGGGAGCUUGCUCCUGGAUUCAGCGGCGGACGGGUGAGUAAUGCCUAGGAAUCUGCCUGGUAGUGGGGGAUAAUGUCCGGAAACGGGCGCUAAUACCGCAUACGUCCUGAGGGUGAAAGUGGGGGAUCUUCGGACCUCACGCUAUCAGAUGAGCGUAGGUCGGAUUAGCUAGUUGGUGGGGUAAAGGCCUACCAAGGCGACGAUCCGUAACUGGUCUGAGAGGAUGAUCAGUCACACUGGAACGGAGACACGGUCCAGACUCCUACGGGAGGCAGCAGUGGGGAAUAUUGGACAAUAGGCGAAAGCCUGAUCCAGCCAUGCCGCGUGUGUGAAGAAGGUCUUCGGAUUGUAAAGCACGUUAAGUUGGGAGGAAGGGCAGUAAGUUAAUACCUUGCUGUUUUGACGUUACCAACAGAAUAAGCACCGGCUAACUUCGUG